UCCUGAAUAGCUCAGCGGUAGAGCGGGUGGCUGUUAACCACUAGGUCGGCAGUUCGAGUCUGUCUGCCGGAG
rnacentral:tRNA from 1 species